rnacentral:tRNA from 3 species
GGGUGCUUAGCUCAGUUGGGAGAGCGUCGCCCUUACAAGGCGAAGGUCGCAGGUUCGAACCCCGCAGCACCCACCA